rnacentral:lncRNA from 1 species
GGGAUCAAAGCUGGCGCGAUUGUGUGUGAAUUUCUGAGCAAUUGAAGCUCUAUUUAUAGCUGAAAUGGUUGAUAAUUGCACACUCUCAUUCACUUUCCAAUUUUGGAAAAUGGUGAUGUAAUGGUGCAUGGGCGUGCAUAGACCCAUGAAAUGAUUGCUAAAGGUCCACAAAUGAAUAUCAGAUGCUUUGAACUAAGCUUGGAUUGCAAGGCA